GAGGCUGCCAGCAAGGCGCUAAUAACAUUUACUUGCCUUUGAGCUAACAAAUCUCAUAUAUUGCCACUUUGCAUCUCUGACAUUUCCAAGACAUCCAUCUGCCAGAUUUGACCCCAGUAAAACGGAUAAAUAUGACUAUUUAACUGGCGCCCACCUUACGUUCUCAUCUAACUCAGGCGCAUAUGCACAUAGUACAUGUUUAUAAUAAGAUCACAUUGUUUGUUUUCAAUAGCUUUCAGUUCUGAUUACACAGAAUAAUGGCCCGGGCAAUACCCAACGAACGAACAAGUUGAAUUAAUCUACGCCAGAUCAAAUCGAUUCAAUGCACAGCAUGCAUAUUAGUAAAUACGCAUAUAUGUAUGCAUAUGUGUGUGUGCGUGUGUGUAUUAUAAUUUAAUUCCGAAUCAUGCUCGUAAAAUAGGGAUGCAGAGUUUAAGCCGAACCGAUGUGAACCUUGAAUUCCAGGAACUUUGAAGUGAACCGAACUCUGAACCGAACCACUUGCGCAAGCAAGAUUCCUGAAACAAUUAAGAGUGCUCUAAACAAGAGUAUUCGACUGGAAAAUACCCUGUGUACUGUACAUUAAGCUGCUGUACAUCAUACCCUCCAAAGGAAUUCGCAAUUUUUAAUGUGGAAUUGAUUACAUUUCAGGACUGGCAACAUAAUUUUUAUAGAUUUUUUGGGUAUUAGGCACACCUUAUGCAUGUUUCAAGUCAAUAUACCCAUUAUUACCAACUAAUGAGAACAGGGUAUAACAAACUACGUACUGCUUGGUUUAAGACAUAACACUGACUAUUAAUGAAAAUAUAUAUUAGAUUUGAUUUUAUUGUGGGCAUGUCUCUCCAGACGAUAUUGAACUUAAAACUAAAUGGAAUUCCUCUUUCAAAUACAAAAUAACAUUUAAAAAUUUGCAAUCUAGGUGGCCGGUCUAGCAUUUGUACUGGCUUCUAUCUAUCGUUAACCAGUGGAUGGUACCAAUAAUUCUUAAUCCUCCGGCACCUUCCACUGCAGCUGUUUACCACGAUCGUAUAGAUUCUUCAAUGCUAGCGUAAAUUUCUUCUCCGCUUGCAAUUGCAGAUAAUGUUUAUAUAGCUGAAGGGUUGUGCGAGCAUCCUCAAUGGAGUCAUGCGUUUCAGAUUGUAUUUUUGUGCC